UGGGGCUGAAGGAAGUCAGUCAUUUGAUACUCAUCAAGCACUUUCACCUGCAGCGUUUAGCCCUUCCAGCAAGUCCAUGAGAAGGUGGCCAUCUACAAACCAGGAAGAAGGCUCUCGCCAGAACCUGACUGUGCUGCCACCCUGACCUCAGACCUCCAGCCUCCAGAGGAUGUGAGAAACUCCAGAACUGCGAGAAAAUACAUUUCUGGUAUUGAAGCCAGCCAGUCUACAGUAUUGCCUUAUGGCAGCCCAAGCAGACUGAAACAGCAGGUCAGUCUGCUUUCACUCCUUGUUUAGCAAAGCUCGGAAGGCAAGGAACGGCACUGCCCAGCCUCAGGGAAGUCUCCAAACCUCCGACCUCCUCCACACGGAGGCCCUGAUAGCUAGUACAGGAAGACAGUCUUCUCUCCACCUCUCUGGGACCCCGGAACCAAGAAAAAACUGGGCUCAACAGUCUGUGCAUGAGAAACAAACCCCGGGGCCCAUCCUCUGGAUGCUGACCAUGUGGGGUGUUCUGAAGACUUCACACAUCAUGGAAUCCAGACUACACGUUAAAAAACAGCCACCGCAACCCACUUCCUUUUCCUGAUUCCAAAAAGAACAGUGCACAUUGUAGAAAACAUUUUUAAGUAUAAAGACGAAAAUACAUAUGAAUCCCACCAUCCAGAGACAACAUGCCAUUAAUACGUUAUGCAUUUCCCCCCAUCUUUUUAAGACGUAUACGAAGAGAGAGACCGUCUUUAAAAUUCUUCCACAGCUGAGCUCAGGCUACAUCUCCUCUUCGGUGGCCUGCCUUUCCCCUCAAUAUUCUAUCAGAACUAUUUGCCCUUGUUAUUAAAAUUUCUUUGUAAACCACAUUUUAGGGGUAGAAUAACAUUUCAUCGUCUGAUUGCACCAUAAUUAAUUUAACCAUUUCCCUAUUGUUAGACAUUUAGGUAGUUUCUGAGAGCACACUACCAUGAAUAAUGCAGUGAUGAACACGCUGCUUUGUAAAUUUUCAUUCACCUACCUAUCCCUGAUGAUUUCUUUAUGAUGGAUUCCUGGAGGCAGGAUUACUGAGAUUGGCUGCUUGAGC
ensembl:lncRNA